rnacentral:lncRNA from 1 species
AGAGCAGCCUGCCCCGUAGGAGCCGUGAGUGUGGAGGGGGCAAGGCGGCACCUGGCAGUGUGCAGGGUGGGACGCUGUCAGUAUUACUCACUAACACCCUAGGAGUUGUCUUCCAGAGUCUUGGCAACCCUACUGUGCUGUAAGUUUGAUGUGUCUGCGUCACAGUUGCAGCCUUAAGUAGUUUAAACAGGAAUCCUGCUCUGUGCUGGGAUUGUGAAAGUUAGGAUCCUUAGCUGAGACUUGCCUGUGAACUGUGUCGUUUCUACACUGUGCUGUGCAAGGGUGAGGCUUGACUUCACUGAUUUGUAACUUUCUUCCCUCAGCAAAUAAUCGGUCUUUAAAUCAACCAAUAUUUCUACUGACUAAUUAGAACAAAGAGUUACUACCAUUUUAAGAAGUAUGCAGUGAGAAGUUUUUCCUAACCUUCAGAGAAAUUAAUGUCUUGUUACUUAUUAUAUAUUAUUAAUUCAUGUUUUAAUUCACAUUUUAUGGAACAGAGCCUUUGUGGAGUUUUCACGGAAUCCGACAGAAAGAUUUAAGACCCUCCCUGCUGUGAACUUGGCAGUCAAGAUGUCCCAGUUAAAAGUGUCCCUUGAGCUCAGUAUCCAUGCCGCAGAGGAGAUCGAGGGGAAGGUGCAAGGCGGGUCGGUGUCAAAGCUCAGGAACACAAGGGUGAAUGUGGACUUCCAGAAGCAGACAGUAGACCCCAUGCAAGUGUCAUUCAACACCCUGGACAGACCCCGGACAGUAGCAGAUCUCCUCCUGACAGUUGAUGUCACU